rnacentral:rRNA from 1 species
UACGGAGGGUGCGAGCGUUAAUCGGAAUGACUGGGCGUAAAGCGCGCGUAGGUGGUUCGUUAAGUUGGAUGUGAAAGCCCUGGGCUCAACCUGGGAAUUGCAUCCAAAACUGGCAGACUAGAGUACAGUAGAGGGGGGUAGAAUUUCCGGUGUAGCGGUGAAAUGCGUAGAGAUCGGAAGGAAUACCAGUGGCGAAGGCGGCCCCCUGGACUGAUACUGACACUGAAGUGCGAAAGCGUGGGUAGCGAACAGG